AGAUCAAACACAGAGCUGAAAUAGCCUCUCACAGUUACCAAGAAGACCACAGGGCGCCGAACCUGCGUUGAGUUUUACUAAUUAGCUCACCUGCCGCAGCUCGCCUGCCAGGUGGUUUUCUUAAUUAGUUAAUUGGUUGCAUCUGGUGCGUUUCACUUAAAAGGGAACCGGACAGUUCAUUUGUUUGUGUACUGUUUUGCUGUUGUGACUUAUUUAACAUCUCUUCCAGUUUCACAGGUUAAAGACUUUUUGAAGUAAAGAGGAGCAUCUCAUCUGAACCUGAUGUCUAUCAUGGAUAUUUAACUGCAGUUCUGUGAGUAUCCCAACUUAACCAUGACGCAUAACUGCAAACCGUAAGUCAUUAAUUUAUCAUUACUCUUGGGCACAUUGAUGUAUUUUGGCUUCCUGGUGAGUUAACCUGUUACAUGACGGUUGUGAGUAGUGAGGAUGUUUUAUUGGUUCAUGAGUUACUUAGGUGUUUGGUUUAUGUUGGUUUUAAUGAUUUGUUAAAAUGGUUACAAGUUAUUGUUGUAAGCUGGAGUAAUGAGUUGGGUUCUGAUGUCUUCAGUCUUCUUUUAUUCUACUCCCCUGAGCUCUGCAUCUUCAUCACAUGUUGCUUUACUGAGGAGGGUGUGGUCUGAGUGAGCAGAGGUGCAUACUGGGAUACAGAGCUGUCUAAAGUCUACAGGUCUGUAGACACGCCCCCUCAGGGGAAACCGAGUGUUUGAGAAACUGUCGUGUCGUCAGUUACAUGGACUGGAAUGUUCUUAAAGAUGGAGACAGGGAUUCAGAAGGAGAAACACCAGGGGGAGAUGAGGGGGCUCCUCAUCUCAACGACUGAAACACAACUUCAGUCUGACGCAGAGAACCAUGGAACACAUUCAACAGUCCCCUCCAGGCAUCGUGACUCCUCAGGAACAGUUUCAUUUCCAAGAAGGUCUUAUUUGGGGGCAUCCCCAUAUGGAUCCUGCUCCUCAAGAGCCACCCCCCUCCACUGGGUGGUCUUCUGAACAGAUGAUCUCCUUCCUGUCCUCAGGCUGACUAAAGCUGCACCGUUUGCAUCUGUGAAGGCCCCUCAAUCAGGAAACCACUGGACUACAAAGACAUGACUUCAGAGACGUUGAAUCAACCUGGGACACAUUGGAGACGCCAAGCAUAAUCCAUCACCAAUGUGGGAUGCCACUGAAGAAUGUUGUACAUAAUUCAAGUCUCUGGAGACAAUGGUUGUUCAGUUCUGGGUGCCCUGGCAGGAGAGCUGGGGGGGGGGGGGGAUGUUGGAAGGUUAUUUGCUUUGAGGUUUUUACCCUGCAUGAUUGUUUGGCCUUUUAUGGUGUGUGUGUGUGUGUGUGUGUGUGUGUGUGUGUGUGUGUGUGUGUGUGUGUGUGUGUGUGUGUGUGUGUGUGUGUGUGUGUGUGUGUGUGUGUGUGUGUGUGUGUGUGUGUGUGUGUGUGUGUCAUGGAAGAUUUUUGAGUAUCGCUAGGGUUCUACUGUGUGUGUGUGUGCGUGUGUCUCCCACUCACACCUGGCAUGGGGUUCUAUGUGCGUGUGUCUGGCUUGCUUUGACACUGAUAAUGUUCAUACGGGGGUCUGUGUGAUUGGCUUGGGAUAUUGGAAUGGUCAACUAAAUCAUACCUGAUGGACGGCCACACGUUUACUUAAGGGCCUCCAGUAGACAUGAAGAGCCCUGAGCCGACGCUCCGGAGCGAUAUCCAACACACUGGGAAGGAAGGAGAGUAUCCAAAUCAAGUGUAAAAGGAUGCAAGCGGCGUGUUCAGAUCAGCGACUUCAAACUAGGACUACACCAUCAGGAUCAAUGGAGGAUGGACACCAAAAGGAAUUCCACAAGGAGAGUCUGACGUUGGAAAGGGACCUCAAUGGAUAUUCAAGAUGACCUUCAGACCUGUAAUGAGACGGCUCUUCCUACCUGGCUGGAAUGAUGGAGAGCCCUGUGGAUCUUGUCUUGCUCUCAGUUGCACGUCUUCUCAGGCUGAACUGUAAUUGUUUCGGACAGGACUAGCUGAACGAUUGGUUCCCUUAAAUCAGAACCAAUCCCGGAACUCCAGCUAGUGCGCUCUUUGAACUGAAGUUGUGCUCUUCAGCUGAGGUGGUAAGGAAACCUUCACUGGGGCUUCAAGGUGUAAAGAGGAGAAUGUUUCAAAGUGUUCCAUGGUACUCUGAAGACUGUUGUUGUGUUCCACUGGCUGCGAGGAAGAACCCACACAUCUUCCUCUUGGCCUUUCUCCUCUGAGAAUCCUGGCGCCAUCUUGAAGGAUAUUCCAGCUCAUGUAACUGAUGUCACGACAGAUUCUCAAACACUUGGUUUCUCCUGAGGGGCGUGUCUAUGGAACUGAAGACUUCAGACAGCACUGUAUCCCAGCAUGCAUCUCUGCUCACUCAGACCACACCCCCAUGAGUAGGAUGCAACACUCUAGUGAUGGAGAUGUAGAGUUUUAUAAUUAACGAGGGAGCAGACUAAGGUGAUUAGAACACAAUGGAAUGUCAAGUCUGUAAAUCUUUAAGCCAUGAAGAUGGUUGGAUAGUUCAGGAAUUGGGCUUCUUUUUAUUAUGGGCAGUCCUUUCACUCAGAUGCCCACUUCUCACUGGAGCUGUUCAUGUGUUGGCUGGCUGGCAUGAUUUGCUGUUGGUGAUGAGUCGGUCAGGGUGACGUUGCAGGGCUAUGGUCGGCUCUCUGUGAGCUCAACGUUUAGAUUUGCUCUGUAUGGUUUGUACCCUGAAUAAUCUAGAUAAUUGUAAAAUGUAGACACGGUUUUGUAUUGAAUGAUUUUAGGUUUAAAGUUGUUGUGGGACGUACAUGGUAGUUUGGUUCUUCGUAUGGUUUUGAGUGAUAUAACUUGUACACACUGGGUGCAUAAUAAUGUAAAGGUACACUGAAUAGUAUUAAUGACCAACAGCAACAAACGGAUCUCCUCAAGGUAAGUCUGUUGGCUGUAUUUUAAUGAAGACCAUCACUGGACUUCAGGAUCUUCCUCCGUUCAGCUCAAGGUGAGGCGCUGGUUCUGUUUUUUCUUUGGUUGGUUCCGGCCGGAAUGUUCGGAUUCCAGUCAGACGGUUUGUGCUUCCCGCCGUGGAAGGUUCUGAGUGAGGUCACUUGAUUUAGUCCCAAUGGUUAGCAUAGAACGUUGUAGUCUUGACAAACAUAAGAAACCACCAGGCAGUUAGUUGGACGGGAGUCCCCUGAGGGACUCUGGCGGAACGUUCUGGAUUGUAUUUGCGUAACCUCGAGGCGUUGCCAACGGAAUCUAUUUUUCAGUCGGUUUCCAUUGGGAAUUGUUGCCCCUAUCUUGAACAACUAAAGUUUGAUAUUAAAUACAUACUAAAACGUACGUCGUACAAUAUGUUAAUUUCCGUUGGUUGCGCCGUUCUUUCAACCAUGAUGACGUUGCGGGACUCGCACUGCGUACAAAACGGCGUUCUACUUGCGGGCCCAUUUUUGACAUCAGAGAAGGCUGAAAAUCAUUUCAAGGUGGAAGAUAAUUUGACAUUUCUUCAACGGAACCCAGCACCUGAAUAUGGCUGAGUAUAUUUGAUUUAAUAUCGAUACUGCUUAGUGUUCUUUGUUACUUCAGCUUUUGUGCGUUCUAAAUAUCUGCUGUCAUUAAUUGCCACAGAAGUUAAACCCUACCCAAUGGAAUGACGUUAAACAUCGACUUUGGUGCAGAGUUACCAACUGGAUAAUAUCAAAGCUAAAUUAAUGGCCGUCAUUCCCACAUGUUACAGUAGAAGAUACUCUAGAACUGUACAAGGUUAAAAAGGUAACGUGUAGUUUGUCCCAAGGUGUCUGCCUCCUCACCCAGAGCCAGACCUCCACCUCCUCACCCAGAGCCAGACCUCCACCUCCUCACCCAGAGCCACACCUCCACCUCCUCACCCAGAGCCAGACCUCCACCUCCUGUCAGAAGUCCUCCAGAACAGCUGAAAGGCGAGGCUGAGAGGCUGGGGACCGUCUUGUGGUGCCAGGAUGGACCGGAGACUGAGGCUGGAGUCCAGGGGCCUGCAGCACCGGACCAGAGGACCAGGAAUCCAUGGCUGAAGGAGCUGAUGGAGGAGCCCUGAUGGAGGAGCUGAUGGAGGAGCCAUGCUGAAAGAGCUGAUGGAGGAGC